GUUUUGAGGGGGACUCAUGGAGAACAGAAAUCUCCAGUGGAACAAAAGUGUUAAAGUCCUCUUGGUAUUGAUUUCCAGUGUCAAUACCGUGAAGGUGUGG
rnacentral:ncRNA from 1 species